AAACCGUUCAGGGGUAAACCUGAGAAACCCAAAAGAUCGAAUGGGGAGACUCAUCGUCAGCUGCGUUGGCUUGCGUGCGGCUCGCGAUGCUCGUUGGCGUUUCUGCGUUUUCAACGGGUACGCGGUCGCUGCGUUAUGUCCGAUGUUGGUCGGCGUGCACUUCUCCCCUAGUAGGACGUCGCGACCCGUUGGGUGUCGGUCUACGGCCCGCGAGGUUGACUGACGAGCCGCGUUCACGCGCGCGCUUGUCAGACCCGCGGUUGCCCGGCCGACUGCCCGGCGGUAAAGAUCGCUAUUCGAAUGGUAUCGAGCCGCAUUUUGAAUGCGUUCAUUAUGGCUCGUCGGCAGGUGAGCCUCGCUUGAAUUUUACGGACCUAGCGCCGUUGUCGAGUGCUUGUCGCUUGCCGUUUCGCCGACGAUGUCCUCGGACGGGCUCUUGUAACGCGCUUUCGAGCGCGUUUACCGGUCGGCGACGCUUCUGCUUUGGGUACUUUCAGGACCCGUCUUGAAACACGGACCAAGGAGUCUAACAUGUGCGCGAGUCAUUGGGACUUGUUGUAAUAAGCCUAAAGGCGUAAUGAAAGUGAAGGUCCGCUUUUAUGCGCGACCGAGGGAGGAUGGCUCUCGUUACGGCGUAAGAGCUCGCACUCCCGGGGCGUCUCGUGCUCAUUGCGAGCUGAGGCGCACCCAGAGCGUACACGUUGGGACCCGAAAGAUGGUGAACUAUGCCUGGUCAGGACGAAGUCAGGGGAAACCCUGAUGGAGGUCCGUAGC
rnacentral:rRNA from 1 species